rnacentral:miRNA from 1 species
CAAGUUUGUGUCUAUGGGUGUG